UAAGCCUGUGAAGGUGGCCUGUGAGGGUUGCUGGAGGUAUCAGAAGUGCGAAUGCUGACAUAAGUAACGAUAAAGCGGGUGAAAAGCCCGCUCGCCGGAAGACCAAGGGUUCCUGUCCAACGUUAAUCGGGGCAGGGUGAGUCGACCCCUAAGGCGAGGCCGAAAGGCGUAGUCGAUGGGAAACGGGUUAAUAUUCCCGUACUUGGUGUUACUGCGAAGGGGGGACGGAGAAGGCUAUGUUGGCCGGGCGACGGUUGUCCCGGUUUAAGCGUGUAGGUGUGUGUUCCAGGUAAAUCCGGUUCACUUUAACACUGAGGCGUGACGACGAGGCACUACGGUGCUGAAGCAACAAAUGCCCUGCUUCCAGGAAAAGCCUCUAAGCAUCAGGUAACAUCAAAUCGUACCCCAAACCGACACAGGUGGUCAGGUAGAGAAUACCAAGGCGCUUGAGAGAACUCGGGUGAAGGAACUAGGCAAAAUGGUGCCGUAACU
rnacentral:rRNA from 3 species